rnacentral:rRNA from 1 species
UACGAAGGGGGCUAGCGUUGUUCGGAAUCACUGGGCGUAAAGCGCACGUAGGCGGACCUUUAAGUCAGGGGUGAAAGCCUGGAGCUCAACUCCAGAACUGCCUUUGAUACUGGAGGUCUCGAGUGUGGAAGAGGUUGGUGGAACUGCGAGUGUAGAGGUCAAAUUCGUAGAUAUUCGCAAGAACACCAGUGGCGAAGGCGGCCAACUGGUCCAUUACUGACGCUGAGGUGCGAAAGCGUGGGGAG